CCAUAUCACAUUGGAACACCGAAGUUAAGCAAUGGCAACCUGGUCAGUACCUAGAUGGGUGACUGCUUGGGAAUACCAGGUGCUGUAAG